rnacentral:RNase_P_RNA from 1 species
CGGGCAAGACAGAUGACCGCUCCUCGUCGCGUAAAGCUUUGGGGGGAGGAAAGUCCGAGCACCGAUCCCCCGUCGCGUAAAGCUUUGGGGGAGAAAGCGAGAGCGGCUAACGACCGCCAGGAUAUAGUGAGGAAACGAACGCUCACGUGGCUAACGUUUUUUCAUAAACCUAGGGAAAGUGUCCCCUUUGCGAAAGCUUCGGGGACCACUCGAAAUCUCGGAAACGAGAUGAAGGGUGGCCACAGAGACAAUACUAGUCUGCCAAGCAGACUAUCCUGAGCAAGCCGAAGUGAAAACGAAGGCGCGUCGAAGGAUAAACCCUUCGAUAAACUCAGGGUCGCCUUGGUAGGCGAAAGGUGAAAAGUGUGUGGGUGUUGUUCGACGAAAGUCGGGCUGCUACUGCACUCCCCCGUUGGCAACAACGGGGCGUGACCCGUAAAAUCUCUUCGAGAUCACGGGCCCGUGGUAAACCCUCUCCGGUGCAAGAGCAAGGUUCCCCUUCGCAUAAAGCUUCGGGGGACAGGUCGCUCGCUUGAGGUUCGCUGCGAAGCAGAUCCCAGAGAGAUGGUCAUCAGACUCCGCACCAUCAGGUAGCGGGGCGAACAAAACUCGGCUUACCGUCUCGCCCGAAUC